GAUGAACGCUGGCGGCGUGCCUAAUACAUGCAAGUCGAGCGAACGGACGAGAAGCUUGCUUCUCUGAUGUUAGCGGCGGACGGGUGAGUAACACGUGGAUAACCUACCUAUAAGACUGGGAUAACUUCGGGAAACCGGAGCUAAUACCGGAUGAUAUUUUGAACCGCAUGGUUCAAAAGUGAAAGACGGUCUUGCUGUCACUUAUAGAUGGAUCCGCGCUGCAUUAGCUAGUUGGUAAGGUAACGGCUUACCAAGGCAACGAUGCAUAGCCGACCUGAGAGGGUGAUCGGCCACACUGGAACUGAGACACGGUCCAGACUCCUACGGGAGGCAGCAGUAGGGAAUCUUCCGCAAUGGGCGAAAGCCUGACGGAGCAACGCCGCGUGAGUGAUGAAGGUCUUCGGAUCGUAAAACUCUUUUAUUAGGGAAGAACAUAUGUGUAAGUAACUGUGCACAUCUUGACGGUACCUAAUCAGAAAGCCACGGCUAACUACGUG
rnacentral:rRNA from 1 species